UAUUAUACAUUAAUUUUUUCUGAAUAAAUUCAUCAUCCACAUUUUCAUUAAAAAUGAAAUUUCUAACUAAAAUAAUUUAAAAAUUUUUCUAAAAUUAGAUAAAAACCAGGAUUAGAUACCCUGCUAUUCUAACAACAUACAAUAAUUCAAAGAAUUUCCAAACAAAAUAAAUUUGACGGUAUUAACUUUUACAAAGGAAUUUGUUUCUUAAUCGUCAACACACGUAAUACCUUACUUAAUAUUCAUUAUGUAUGUAUACCACCGUAAAUGAAAUUAUUAAAAAUUAAUUUCUUAAUUAACAAUUUCAUAAAAUCAGGUCAAGGUGCAAUAUUAUUAAGAUGAAAUGAAUUACAUUAAUUUAUAUAUACAUAUAAUUUUUGAAAAAAAAAUUAAAAAAAGAAUUUGUUAGUAAAAUUUUAUCAUCAUGAUAAUUUGAAAAUUACCAUUAAUAUG
rnacentral:rRNA from 1 species